rfam:Populus trichocarpa scaffold_2_contig_60, whole genome shotgun sequence.
UAAUUUUUCUAUAGUUGAUUUUCAUCUACCUGUGGAAAAUUCAUAAGAAACUCAUAAUCAUCUAUUAUCUCAAGUACAAAUACUAUAGGAAAAAAAAAAAACUAAGAAAUAACA